rnacentral:misc_RNA from 1 species
UUUACUUGCAAAGUUAGUUAACAUUGCAUAUGAACAUUUUAAAGCGGCGUUGUAGAAGUUUAUAGUUACUUUGAAUGAAAUAAAGCUUGCUUCGAGUUAGGAAACAUUAAAGGGUGAAAUGCCGUUUUUGUUACAUGAGAAUGGCCAGGAAUGGUAGCUGGGGAGAACAUUUUAAGACGUAUUGAACAUCUGUGGACAUGUCCAAAUAACGACUCUAUUAUUAUAUUUAUUGACCCGCGAAAGCGCUCGACUAUGGAUAGCAAAUAUGCAGACAGGUUUGACCAUUAUGAGGGGAGAAAUCAUCUACGAAUAUGCAGCGUUGAAUCCUACCAGAAAACGCGAACACGCUACAAACGAAUCCAGUUAAUUUGUUACAAUUUUUUGGAACGACCAAAUGGUAUACUCAGUGUCUCCUAUCAUUUCGCAUUGUUUGGUUUGGUGGUUGUGGGUUUGGUGUUUGCCAUACUGGAAACAAUGGCUGAAUUUAAAGACAAUGAUGGUCUGAUCAUGGCGACUUAUAUAUUGGAAGUUUUUCUACUUAUCGUAUUUACGUCUGAGUAUGUUCUCCGUAUGUGGUCUGCUGGUUGUAGAAGUACUUACUCUGGAGUGUUGGGUCGAAUACGGUUUGCUUUUAAGCCUUUUGUUAUUGUAGAUAUUAUUGUCAUAGCAUCCACUUUUGGAGUCAUUGCCUACUCCUCGAGUUCUGGUAAUCUUUCUUCCACGAUUGGCAUUCUUAGAUUUUUCCAAGUGCUUCGAAUGGUUCGUUUUGAUAGACAAGGCGGAUCUUGGAAAUUGUUGGGCUCAGUUUUGUUUCUUCAUAGACAGGAACUGUUGACAACGUUCUACAUAGGAUUCUGCAGUUUAAUCUUUGCAUCGUUUUUUGUCUGGCAAGCUGAAAAUUCUGAAAAUAUCGAGUUUCAAACAUUCGCUGACUCGUUCUGGUGGGGAGUUGUGACUCUCACAACCGUCGGAUAUGGAGACAAGGUUCCAAAAAGUUGGGCAGGGCGUGGUGUUGCUGCCUUUUUUGCCAUUAUGGGGAUAUCGUUCUUCGCCUUGCCUGCUGGAAUUCUCGGCUCCGGGUUUGCUCUUAAAGUUGCUCAACAUCAGCGGCAGAAACAUGUGAAGAGAAGACGACGACCAGCUGCAAUGUUGAUUCAGAGUAACUGGCGAUAUUAUGCUUCACGAAAGAACUCGCAACUCAAUGCAACGUGGUCACCUUAUAUCAAAUACCUGCAGGAGACCAGUACAAAGAAAGAAGAUAACAUUCCAGAGAAACCAAUGCAGUCAGUGGGACGUGUUAGAAAGAUCUCUAUAUUUGGUCGUAAAGCGUCAGGACAGUCCUCAGAGGGACUUCACAAACCUGCCGAGAGUGUUACACUUGAACAAACGGGGCAAAGAACUCGCAGGGGAUUGAGAAGCGAGAUCUUUCCUUCAAAUGACUCUCUACACGAUGGUCAUUCUACGGCUGAGCAGCAUACUGAUGAGGAACAUGGUGUUAAUCAUGUUAGACCCAUUUUAAUCAAAGAUUGUCGUGGAAACGUAAGUUUGCCACCAGCGUACAAAAGAAGCAUCAGAUUCACCCGUUAUCUCAAGUUUCUUGUUGCUUUGCGCAAGUUCAGGUUAGCAAAGAAACCCUAUGAUGUUAAAGAUGUUAUCGAGCAGUAUAGCACUGGUCAUGUAGAAGUUCUUGGAAAAGUGAAAAGCAUUGGAAAUAAAAUUGAUGAAGCGUUGGGCUACAAAGUAGGCACAGACAAAUUGAAUGACACUCCUUCAGCAGGAAGAACAAAUGUGGUUCAUCGACUAUCGAAACUUGAGAAACAGGUGAAAACUUUAGAAUCAAAAGUAGAUAAAAUGAUCACUUUGUUGGAAGACUCGAAAAGAGAAAGGGAAGAGCGAAAGUUUUGUUGUGGACAUGACCAUUCUUCAAAACAGAGAACAACCAUGGAGCAACUAAAGAGAGAAAAUCUGCCAAGCGUAGAAAUAAGGCGAUCUAUGCGAAGGCGAAAGAUUGGGACAAACAGUCAAAACUUGCAACACGUUUGUUUAUCCGAACGAGAUGAGCUUGUUUCUAGUGAAGAAAUGAGCCCAAGAAAUAGAGCAACAGAUAAACCAUGUUUAAGUGGUGGAACUCCUGUGAAUUUUGAGUCAAAUGGUAGCAAGCAUCUAUCACCAGAGCCUAAUUAUGAUGAUGGUUCGUGUUAUCUGUCUCGGCAGUCAUCAGCGUAUGGUAUUUCUGAUAAUUGUCCUUCACCAAACUCCAGCAGCUCUGAUGAAAGCUACCAGUCAAAAGAUGACUAUCAGAAUGGCAGUGAGAUGCCGCAUAAUGGUAUUUUACCUCUCUACGGUGAAACUUACCAAUUGAAAGAUGACAACAAUCACAUACAAAGUAAUGACAGUAUAGCUCCUGAGUAUAGUGAAGGUUGCCAUGAACCAGAGAUGGAAGUCCCUGUGUUCCAGUUUGCAUUGCCAGAUGGUGAGCAGAACAUGUAUGGUAGGAAACAUUUUAUUCCACAUGAAAGCUAUGGCACUUCCAAUCCUGGUUAUAUAGAGACAAGUAAUGGUAGCUCAUUAAAUUGUCCUUCAACAGACAUUUCUUCUUCAACCACACCAUCAGUAUUUGGUGCCAGCAGUAUUCAGAUAUGUGAUAGUAAGAUAAUUGGACUCAACUACCAAUCACCACAGGACCACUCUGAUCCCGACCAUUCCUCUGUAGGAAUACCAACACUAUUAUCACCAUAUCCUGUAAAUGAUAAUAAUUUUGGGGCCAACCGAGCACCGGCUCAGAGGAAAUCUGGACUAAAAUCUCAAUUAUCAAAUGAUAUUUACCACCAGAUCAAUUCACCUGUUUCUAUUUUGACAGAAAAUCAAGGUGAUUGUCCUCAAGUGCUGUCUGAUGGUGAAACUGAUGAUGAAUCAGACAGAGAAAACCAUAAUAUCGCAGAUCCUGACCAGAAUUUGGUUUCAUCAAGUUUAAUGUCAUCAGAAAGACUUAACUCACUUGAAAUUUGUGCUUCAGAUAGUUCCCAAGUACCAUCCAUUAAUCAGGAUGAAAUAACUGUGGAAAAUAAUCCUUUCACAAAUCAUGGAGGGAAAAGUGAAUUGAAUCCAGAAUAUGAGAAUUUACAGGAAAGUAGUUAUCAAGAUAACUGUAAACUGGAACAAGGGUUACGGACAUCAGUCAGUUCACAGGAGGAGAGGAAUAUGUCUGCUGAUGAUGAAAAAGUUUUAUCUCCUAAAAGACAAACUUCUCCAAACAGUGACACUCUUGAGAUGAAGGAGACCUUUGAUAGCGCAUUUUUGGAGUGUGAUAAUAGAAAUGAUGAAGAUGAUCUGUGUGGUGAGGUGAUUACUCAAUCAUCAGAUUCAGAACAAAUGGAUAGGAGUUCAGUGGACAAGUCAGAGGAAGUUAGAUUGAAUUGAAUGAAAGAUACAGGAAGAAAUGAGGAAGAUUAUAGAAAUUUGAGAAUUGUUAAACUGAAAGGAUAAAAAUGGUUGUGGUGCAUUGGAAAAUCCAAAUAUAUCAAAAGGAGAUAUAUAUUAUAUAUAUUACAAAAGGAAAGUAAGGAUGGUAUCAUUUAGAAGAUUUAUCUCGUCAGCCAUGCAGUUAUCAAGACGAACGUGGAGAUGAAAGAUAAUUUUUUUACCAGUUUUAAAGUCACUGUAUUGAUCAUAACAGCAUAUUUGGUUGGUUUUUGGAAGAAUCAAAAAGUGGUC